CCGCCGCCAUGUUGUGUGUGGCGGAUGGGGCUCACCCUUCUCAGGCUACGCGCUCCCCGCGGCCCCGCAGAAAAGCACCACACAGAAAAUGAAAAGGCAAGCCACAGACUGGGAGCCAAUGGUUGCAGAACAUGUGUCUGACAAAAGACUUCUACCUAAAAUACAUUUUUAAAAGUUUACAACUCGGGGCGCGUGGGCGGCUCAGUCGGUUGAGCAUCCAACUCUUGACUUCGGCUCAGGUCACGAGCUCAUGGCUUGUGGGAUGGAGUCCCCAUCAGACUCCGCUCUGACAGCUCGGAACCUGCUUGAGAUUGUCUCUCCCUCUCUGCCCAUCUCUCGCUCGUGUGCACACAUGCACACCCACUCUCUCUCUCUCUCUCUCUCAAAAUAAAUAAACUAAAACAAAAAACAACCACAACAAAAACAACAACAACAAAACCCCUUACAACUCCACAAGACAAGUAACUGAAUUAAAAAUGGGCAAACUUCACCAAAGACGCAUGGACGACAGACGAGUGCGUGAACAGACGCAUCAUAUCUUUAUUCAUUAGGGAAAUGCAAAUUAAGACCCACAAUAAGCUAGGACCACACACAUCCUGGACUGACUAAAAUUAAAGAGGCCGAUCAUACCAAGUUCUGGAAAGCACGUGGAAUAAUCAGAACUCUCGUUUCUGGUGGGAAUGGUAAAUGGUACAUUUCCAGUGGCGCAAAAGGGACAACAUUUUGGCAGUUUCUGGAAAAGCCAAACACACAGCUACCACGUGACCUAGCCAUUCCGUUCCUAGAGGUUUACCCAAGAAAAAUAAAAGACCUGCACACAAAUGUUCGCAGCCCGUUUAAGAGCCCCAAGCAAAUGACCGUAAAUUGGGGGAAGGGAUCUACCAAUUAUAGACUAUCCAUAUAAUGGGCUACUAUUCAGUAAUAAAAAGGAAUCCAGUAUGGACACAACCACAACAUAAGUGGAUCUCAAAAUAAUUAUUCUGAGAGAAAGAAUCCAAAUGGGGGGGGGGGAAGUAUAUACCGGUUGAUUCCAAUGAUAAAACAAGUCUAGAAGACUCCAGCUAAUCAGUGAUGGAAACCAGAUCAUCGAUCACCUGGGAGUGGAAAAUGGGGAAGAGGCAGGAUGGAGAGAUUCCACAGGGGCACGAGGAAACUUUCAGGAUGGCGGAUACGUUCACGAUCUUGAUGGUGGUGAUGAUGGUUUCAUGAGGGAACGCGCACAUCAAAACUUACCAAGUUGGACAUUUUUGUACGUUCAGGUUAUUAUAGAUCACUUAAAUAAAGCUCUAAAAAGAACCCACUGCUGAACUUCAGCAAAUCUUAACCUGUGCCAUAUGGAUUCGUUUCUGAUUCUUCCCCCCUCACCUGUAUGCCUCCCAAACCUAUUUCCCUCCACUCCCCAAACUAAGCACUAGCAACUUGAAUUUGAGAUGCAGCAUUCUCCUGCAUGGUUUUCUGUUUCACUAAAGUCUUUACCUGUAAACAUAAUAUUACAUUGUUUGGCAUCACUUAACAUUUUUCAUAAAUGAAACACCCGCCAUUCUGUAGCUUGCUUUCUUUGUUCAACAUAAUGUUUACAAAUAAAUUAUUUAACAGAA